AACGAACGCUGGCGGCAGGCUUAACACAUGCAAGUCGAGCGCCCCGCAAGGGGAGCGGCAGACGGGUGAGUAACGCGUGGGAAUCUACCCAUCUCUACGGAAUAACGCAUGGAAACGUGUGCUAAUACCGUAUACGUCCUUCGGGAGAAAGAUUUAUCGGAGAUGGAUGAGCCCGCGUUGGAUUAGCUAGUUGGUGGGGUAAAGGCCUACCAAGGCGACGAUCCAUAGCUGGUCUGAGAGGAUGAUCAGCCACACUGGGACUGAGACACGGCCCGGAAUCCUACGGGAGGCAGCAGUGGGGAAUAUUGGACAAUGGGCGCAAGCCUGAUCCAGCCAUGCCGCGUGAGUGAUGAAGGCCCUAGGGUUGUAAAGCUCUUUCACCGGUGAAGAUAAUGACGGUAACCGGAGAAGAAGCCCCGGCUAACUUCGUGCCAGCCGCCGCAGUAAUAC
rnacentral:rRNA from 1 species